AACGCGAAGAACCUUACCUGGCCUUGACAUCCACGGAACCCCUGAGAGAUUGGGGGGUGCCUUCGGGAACCGUGAGACAGGUGCUGCAUGGCUGUCGUCAGCUCGUGUCGUGAGAUGUUGGGUUAAGUCCCGCAACGAGCGCAACCCUUGUCCCUAGUUGCCAGCACGUAAAGGUGGGAACUCUAGGGAGACCGCCGGUGACAAACCGGAGGAAGGUGGGGAUGACGUCAAGUCCUCAUGGCCCUUACGGCCAGGGCUACACACGUACUACAAUGGUGGGUACAAAGGGUUGCCAAGCCGCGAGGUGGAGCCAAUCCCAGAAAACCCAUCUCAGUCCGGAUCGGAGUCUGCAACUCGACUCCGUGAAGUCGGAAUCGCUAGUAAUCGCGGAUCAGCAAUGCCGCGGUGAAUACGUUCCCGGGCCUUGUACACACCGCUAGUC
rnacentral:rRNA from 1 species